UACGUAGGUGGCAAGCGUUGUCCGGAUUUAUUGGGUUUAAAGGGUGCGUAGGCGGCUUUGUGAGUCCGUGGUGAAAUCCGGUAGCUCAACUAUCGAGGUGCCAUUGAUACUGCGGAGCUUGAGUACAGAUGAGGUAGGCGGAAUUGACGGUGUAGCGGUGAAAUGCUUAGAUAUCGGCAAGAACACCUAUAGCGAAGGCAGCUUACUAGGCUGUAACUGACGCUGAGGCACGAAAGUGUGGGGAUCAAACAGG
rnacentral:rRNA from 1 species